rnacentral:tRNA from 1 species
UGGGGAGUCGCCAAGCGGUAAGGCAGGGGCCUUUGAAGCCCCCAUUCCAUGGUUCGAAUCCAUGCUCCCCAGCCA